AAGGUGUUGAAGAUUCAGAAGGCAAAGGAAAAACUAGCUUCAAAGAGCUGAGGGGUAGGGACGCUGAAGUCUCUGUCAAGUCUAUUGUGUUUUCAGAUAACUUAGCUUUGAUGACGAUGAAUAUAUGUGAAAGAACCUGUCGAAAUGCAACUGCGAUUAGAAUUUAAGCUCUAGUAUGGUUUUGUAAACUCCUUUUGGAACUAUUGCCACCUGAUUGGAGGAGGUUUUUCCUCUUUCCAUUUCAAUGAUAUUUUAACGCAUGAUAACUAAGUUUACCUGUGCAUGGCGUUUGCUUAGUGCAUCGGGAUGCCCUUUUUUUAUAACUCAAGUUUUCGGCUGUGAUUAUUACUCAAUCCCUAAGGUACACUUUUUCAGAUGAUAUACAGGAAUGAUAGUCAUUAGGAAAUUACUUAUCUUGAAAUGCUAGGGAGCCAGGGUGUAUGUGAUGUUGCGGAAGAUAAAAUGUAGUAGAUUAUUUUGUUACGAUUUACCUUGAAUCACUUGAUAGUAAGUUUAUGUUGGAGAAUGUAUCAAUUCACCAGGGUACCCGAAAAGAGAAAUUGGUAAAAUAUGAAGCAAAUGCUUGACUUUUUUCUUAAGUCGCGUUACACCUACACCUAAUAAAUCCACUUCCAAUUUUAUUUUCAUUAUUGUUUUUAUUUAUCCAAAUUGUAUGCGACCUUUCGCAGGAUACAAAAUCAUACUCGCGCCGUUCCAAAUUAUUCAUUCCAAUUUUUUAAUUUAAUUUUUUAUUUUACUUAUUUUUUUUCAUUAAUUAAGAAGAAAUAAUUUUUUUUUUCGUGUUUUACCUUUACAUUAAUUAUUUUUUCUGUAAAUUAAAAUAUAAAUAUUAUUUAAUAAGAAUACUAUAAUAAAUUUGUCAUAUUAUUAAUUAUUUUUCUUAAUUAAUGUGUCAUCUCAAUUUGAAAUUAAUUAUGUUAUUUAAUUAAUGUGUCAUCUCUAAUUUGAGAUGAAAAAAGUAUUAAUUAAGUAAAACAAACUUUUUGGUUCUUCAAUAAUGCAGGGACAAAUUCAUAGGGGGGGCCUAUCUGUAAAAUUAGAUAUUUUAUGGAUAUAUAAUUUUGUAAAGGGAAAGCAUGCGGUAGGUGGAUUCCCGUUUAUCGCUGAGUCUCAUCGUUUUUAAUUCUAUCUUCCAGUACUAGUACUGCACAAAUAAUGGAGGAAUACAAAUCACUGAAAAUCAUUCAAAAAUCCCCAAAUUCUGGGGUCUGUUUCUUGUAUCUGAACCGACCUAGCCAUCUCAACGCUCUGUCAGGUGACUUCUUCACUGAAUUCCCCAAAGCCAUCUCCUCACUGGAUCAAAACCCUGAUGUUGCCGUUAUCAUCCUCGCUGGCUCCGGCAAGCACUUCUGUUCCGGGAUCGACUUCCAAACCCUAAACAACGCCUUAAAAGGAUCUUACGCUGCUGAUUGCGGCCGCAACGUCGAGAGGCUCCGGCAACAUAUCAAGUUCCUGCAGGAGGCUAUUAGUGCCCUGGAGUGUUGUCGUAAACCGGUGAUUGCCGCUGUCCAUGGCGCAUGUAUUGGUGGUGCGAUUGAUAUAAUUACUGCCUGUGAUAUUAGGUUUUGUUCUUCUGAUGCCUUUUUCUCGGUGAAAGAGGUGGAUCUAGCUAUUACGGCUGAUCUUGGGACACUUCAGAGGCUUCCCAGUAUUGUUGGGUUUGGCAAUGCCAUGGAGUUGGCUUUAACUGGUCGGAGGUUUACAGGUUCCGAAGCUAAAGACUUGGGGUUGGUCUCUCAGGUUUUUACUUGUAAACAAGCUUUGGAGGAAGGCGUCAAACUUGUUGCUGAGGAAAUAGCUACAAAGUCUCCGCUUGCUGUUAUUGGAACAAAAGCGGUGUUGCUGAAAAGUAGGGAUUUGACAGUGGAACAAGGCCUGGAUUAUGUUGCCACAUGGAAUUCUGGUGUCCUGUUAUCAGAUGAUUUGAAAGAAGCAAUUUCAGCACAUAGUCAGAAGAGAAAACCUAAAUUUGCCAAACUCUAGUUUGGUAAUUGAUGGAAUUUGAAAGGGUUAAUAAAUCUGCGUGUGAGCAAAUGUGACUGUUGGUCGAGUGACAAGAUUGAGAUUCUUAUGUGUUUAAUCAUAGUUUAAUUCUCAAAUACUGUUGGUCUUUGUCAACUCUAUUAUGUUUUCAGAUAACUUAGCUUUGGUGAUGAUGAAUGUGUGAAAGAACCUGUCGAAAUGCUACUGCGAUUAGAAUUUAAUUAGCUCUAGUAUGGUCUUGUAAACUCCUUUUUGUGGAACUAUUGCCACCUGAUUGGAGGAGGCAAUGAUAUUUGAACGCAAGAUAACUCAAGUUUUCGGCUGUGAUUAUUACUCAAUCCGUAAGGUACACUUUUUCAGAUGAUAUACAGGAAUGAUAGUCAUUAGGAAAUUACUAUUACCUUGAAAUGCUAGGGAGCCAGGGUAUGUGAUGUUGCGCAAGAUAAAAUGUAGAUUAUUUUGUUACGAUUACCUUGAAUCACUUGAUAGUAAGUUUUUCUUGGAGAAGGUAUCAAUUCACCAGGGUAUCACAAUGAAAUAUUGGUAAAAAUUGAAAGCAAAUGCUCGACUUUUUUCUCAAGUAGCGUUACACCUACA
rnacentral:lncRNA from 1 species